CACCCCGAGCGGCCCUGCUCCCCCAGCCCCUCUCACGGGCACGCAUCGGGCACCAGUUUAUCUUCUGAAAAUAUGCUCUGAAGGGCUUUUGUUUUGUUUUGUUUCCCUACUUGACACCCUUGAAUAAAAUAGGCCAUUUGUCUCCUGGGCAGAAGAAUUUCAACAGUUACACCGCACACUAGCAAGAGGAUUCAGGCUCAAUGCGGAGGGCUAGUGAUUUUGCCAACUUCCUGGAUGUUCGUUUCUGGUCCUGCACCAAAGAGCCACAUUUCCUUUUGGAGUCGGGACCAGGCGAGAGGCAGCGGCAGGCACCGGACCCUGUGAGUACUCCGUGGUCUUUCUCCCGCGUCGCCCCGACCCCGUGUCCGGUCCCUCCCGUCCUGCCUCCCUCUCUUUAUCUACCAGUUAGCAUUGUUCCCGGAGCUCGGAGCUCGCCAGAACUCUCGCUGCCAGGCCUCAGCACCGUGGCCUCCACUUGUAGGGAACGAGACGACAGCUUCCACACAAACAUCGGCUCAGAAGGGGAGAGGGGGUGCUUACCAAUGCAGUGACUUCAGUGUUCACUUUAAGGCUCCGAAAGAUGGAGAAAGUAAACAGAAGCAGGCUGGUUUAUUUCAGGGGCUAACCGUGAGUCCCUACUGGAUUUACCUAAUAAAAUAAAUUUAAAAAAAUU